UAGCCUUUACAAGACAGUUUCACUGUGAUCCUCCUGUUUCCUCUCCUGUUAUGUAAGUCCUUCUGUCUUGUGGAGGCGUCUUACAUAAGCACUGAGGCUUAAUUCCUCCAUGCAAACCCCAACAAAACCCUCCUUGUCCUUUUUCUACAAAUUUUCCCCUUGUUGCUUCUUCUUCUUCCGUGAUAUCCUCUCGCUUUCCCUCGUCUGUUGUUCCUUACCUUCUCUUACCUUUAAACUUCCUUCUUCCUUGUCCUGUCAUACUCUUUUGUUGGUUGCAUAAAUUAAAACAAAACUCUGUAAACACUUUGCAGUUUCAGGUCUCGUCAGGACCUGUGCAGGUUUUGGAGCCUUAAGGUGAGAUGACGUCUCGGCCUGAUAACGUGAACGGUGCAGAAACACCACAACCUGCAGAAGGCCAAGCUGCAAACUGCAGGUUUCCUCCAUCUGGCAUCUACAGACAGGGAAGGCGCUGACUUGACGUAUGUAGGCUCAGACCUGUGGGGAGGAGAGGCACUGAAAUCAGAAUAAUAAUCAGACCACUUCAUUGAAUCCAGAGGAAAUUAUGUGCUGCAGCUCAUGAAGAAAGUCGAACCUCUACAACCGAGAGUAAAAGCAGAAAGGACAGAAACGUGAAUGCUUCUGGUACACAGCAAAACUGAAGACGGAUGUGAGCGAAUGCACCCCCAGAUUCACCUUGAAUGCUGAAACUGAGGAAGCUUUCGGGUGACCUCGACAUGCGGUGAACAUGCAACCCUCUCAGCUGGAAUCAGAUGCGCUUCCAUUGCACCACAAGGUCCCACUUGCACACCUUCUUUUCCUCUCUACAUAAGUUGUUAAAUACAGGCCUGUAAAAGGACUAAUUUGACCGGUCAACAGAACUAGGACUACCAAAAGACACCACAAGGCCAGCCAAAAAUAAGCCAGCGGAUACCAAGACCUCCUCACUGGUCAACAUGAAGCUAAGUGUUUUGGGUAUGUCAAACUGGGAGACCAAGGACCCAGUGGAGAGGCUAUGCCUUUCAGCUGGUGUGAGAACACCUCAGUGUCCCCCAGCAAAAGGUGGAGGUUGGAGGAGGUGGCUCUGGAGAGGAAUGUGCAGCAUUUAUUUUACCACUCUGCUGGCUCCAUAGUUCUGUCCAACAUGUUUCCUAAACAAACAACCCCAGAAAUUCAUUGACCCAGAUGUGAUGAGAAAACAGAUCACACAAUUUUGUCACAAGGUCCAGUUGGUAGCCAAAAAAAGUUUAGGGAGUUUUGGAAAUAGAUAAAGUUGUUCUUGAACAAAAAAAAUUCUUCAAUUGUCAACUCAACUCAACUCUGUAGUAACAGAACAGUGCCUUCAGCUUCGACUUGGAAGUUGAAGCUGAAGGCACUCAUUUUGACCUCGGCAUGAGUUGAACACACAACCUUCUGAGCUGAAAUCAGAUGCGCUACCAUUGCGCCACGAGGCAAGACACAUGAGCUGGAAAAGUUUAUGGAAUUUUUUUCUCAUUGAAAAACUUCAAGACUUCAGUAAAUCUGAACUUUUUGUUUUUGAAGCCUGACGAGUCAGAAAUGGAACCCCCCCAGUACACCACCAGUUUCAUAUUUUGAAGGGGUUGGUUGGGUCGGGUAAAUUGACUGAUUUUCAGUUACAACCUUGUUUUCAUGCUCUCAUUAUAGCAAAGGGUCUGCUUGUCCCGCAACAUAAUUAAUAUGGGCCAUGAACACUACUACAAAGAAGGACGUCAAAGCAAGAGUAUACCUGCUGCUUGGACUGUGGCCUUUCCUUAGACUCUGGUAACACGGGGUUGUUUUUUUGUAGCCAUUUCCCCCAUUGCCCGAUUUUAAAAAUGGCUGUUUUAAUUUUCGUAAACUAGAUGCUGCCAGCUGAGGUUCUUUCUAAUAGUUGAGGAAGUGGAGUGGGUAGGGGUGAGCUGUUGUUACUUUUAACUCAUUGUUUUCUCCUGUUUUUGGAUAGGACAAGGAGGUCAGACUCUGUCUUUGUUUUGCUUCUUUUUUCUCUCCAUGGGGUUAUAAGUGCAGGCAUCAUAGCUUAGCUUUGUGCUGUUUAUCAUUUUGGCCUCGGCUGACGCUGAAGUGUUGAUGCUCCUGUUCUGUUGUUUUCCCUCAGUACUUCAUAAAUA